UACGUAGGAGGCAAGCGUUGUCCGGAUUUAUUGGGCGUAAAGAGCGUGUAGGCGGCCAGGUAGGUCGGUUGUGAAAACUGGAGGCUUAACCUCCAGACGUCGACCGAAACCAUCUGGCUAGAGUCCGGAAGAGGAGAGUGGAAUUCCUGGUGUAGCGGUGAAAUGCGCAGAUAUCAGGAAGAACACCCGUGGCGAAGGCGGCUCUCUGGGACGGUACUGACGCUGAGACGCGAAAGCGUGGGGAGCGAACAGG
rnacentral:rRNA from 1 species